UGGAGGGUAUUACAUACCAAACAUAGGUACGUCAUUAGCUCGCUUCCUUCCCUUCUCUUCCCUUCGUCCCUCAGUCCCAUGCUCGUGGCGCUGAAGUGGCAUCGACAGGCGAUGGCGGCGAGGACAGCACGUGGCAGCCCCUGAAGCACGAACACGACUGCACCUCGGGUCUGCCGUCUCCCAAGAUAUGGCUCCGGCCGAUUGACAAUGGAGGUUUGCCAUCCUUCCUCUCAGCACCCACUCCUGGAGGAACGACACGCCAUGCCGAUCGAACCCGGUCGAGAUCACUCACCAAGAUUGCUAUUCGGAAGAAGAGUGGGACGGGAUCUGCACUUUUGUUAAUAUAACAUAUACUUGUGCAGAUGUUGUAUAUUCUUGGAUUGAAGGGACUGUCUGACAAGGUGAAAGAGCUAAUCUCUACUCCUAAUGAUCAUGGGCUAAUCUCUACAGUUUAUUUUUGUCCGGUUUUUUUCGUCCCACCUCCACCCCCUAGCCAGCCCCACCCCUCGAUCUUCUCCAAGUUUCCGGUUUUCUUUUUUCAUGCAGGAAAUCAGGACACAAUCUAUCUUUCCUUUAAUGCACAUCUCCCCAGUAAAAAAAUCAGGACACUAUCCCCUCCUUCCUAUUAACACUAACACACAUUUCUUCUGAAAAUCCGGGACGUAAUCCUCUCCUUCCCACUAAUCUCUCUUAUAUGGCUUUCCCAUAAUUAUGUCGGUCCUGCUCAGUUUGAUAUAAUUCAAUUUGGACGAAGGACGCCAGAGAUUAACUUUCGCUGGCAGAGAAAGAGACUAGGGAUUGAUUGGUUUUAAACAUUGGAUUCGGUAUUAGCUUAACAUCUGCAGGAACAAGACGACCAUAGGAAAGGCUGGCUUGCUCGACCUGCAUGUUUCCUGUAUAUUCAUUCUCUCUCCAAUUCUAAUACAGUCCAAUUGAUCAUUGUAUAUUUAUCUAAUCAUGGUUCCUAUAUCGUUUUGUAUGGCUACGUGAUGGGGUCGCAUCCACAUGGGGGAAUAUCGCAGAUUGGAUCGGAAGCAGGCCGCACAGAUGAACCACCCCACCUCGUUGUCUGCCUGCACGAUCUCCAUUAAUAUCCAGCGCCGCCUCUCGAGUGGACGACCUGCAUGUCGCCAACAACACCACUUACCUCUGCGCUCCGACCAAAGAUCAUUGUCCAGGUGAGGGUACCUCGCCGCAAGCCCGCAACAGUUGCCGUCACUGUUGAUUAUUCGUACUCAGAUUAAGUUUCAGGCUCAGUCGUCUCUGUCGUCACUCGUCAGCGCACAGACGAUGGGUUGGUGCCAUACUAUCAUGUGGCAUCUCCGUCGUUCUGGGCCGGGAAGAUAACAGAUUUUCAGAAAACAAAUAAUACAUUUUAACCUAACUUCCUUAAAUUAUGCAAAUCAAUCGAUUCCUUUUAUUGGUUCAAUUUGUCUUAGGAA